GAUGAACGCUGGCGGCGUGCCUAAUACAUGCAAGUCGAACGAAACUUCUUUAUCACCGAGUGCUUGCACUCACCGAUAAAGAGUUGAGUGGCGAACGGGUGAGUAACACGUGAGCAACCUGCCCAAAAGAGGGGGAUAACACUUGGAAACAGGUGCUAAUACCGCAUAACCAUAGUUACCGCAUGGUAACUAUGUAAAAGGUGGCUAUACUACCGCUUUUGGAUGGGCCCGCGGCGCAUUAGCUAGUUGGUAGGGUAAAGGCUUACCAAGGCAAUGAUGCGUAGCCGAAUUGAGAGGUUGAUCGGCCACAGUGGGACUGAGACACGGCCCAAACUCCUACGGGAGGCAGCAGUAGGGAAUCUUCCACAAUGGGCGAAAGCCUGAUGGAGCAACGCCGCGUGGGUGAAGAAGGUCUUCGGAUCGUAAAACCCUGUUGUUAGAGAAGAAAGUGCGUGAGAGUAACUGUUCACGUUUCGACGGUAUCUAACCAGAAAGCCACUGCUAACUACGUG
rnacentral:rRNA from 1 species